rnacentral:rRNA from 1 species
GACGUAGGGCGCGAGCGUUGUCCGGAUUUAUUGGGCGUAAAGAGCUCGUAGGCGGUUCGGUAAGUCGGGUGUGAAACCUCCAGGCUCAACCUGGAGACGCCACCUGAUACUGCUGUGACUCGAGUCCGGUAGGGGAGCGUGGAAUUCCUGGUGUAGCGGUGAAAUGCGCAGAUAUCAGGAGGAACACCAGCGGCGAAGGCGGCGCUCUGGGCCGGAACUGACGCUGAGGAGCGAAAGCGUGGGUAGCAAACAGG